UCGUUUUUUGGAAGACUAGUU
rnacentral:piRNA from 1 species